rnacentral:tRNA from 1 species
GCCUCCAUGGCUCAGUGGUAAAGCGGUAAAUAACCAUUGUCAAAGAUUGAGGUUAAUCAAUUCUAAUUAAUGAAGUGUCACUAGUAUCCUUUCAAAUAAGGUGAAUGACAAGGUCCAUGGUUCGAUUCCGUGUGGAGGCA